ensembl:lncRNA
CAUGUGACAAUCACGGACACUGAAGGCGGCUCGGAUGCAGGUGAACUGGAUGAGGGAAUCCUGCGUGUGUUUCGCUGCGACGUCAACGAUGUGGCUCCUGCUGAAAACAUCAUUGUGAUGUGGCUCAUAGGAAAUAGAACUGUGCUGUCCCAUCAUCAUUUUAUCUUCAUUCACUGUACUCUGCGUUUGUAGCAAUGACAGCGGCAGGUAAAAAAACUAGAGCCGGUAACCUAGGUAUCAGUCCGCCUCUGCCGUAGCCUACUACCAGGAAUAUAACACUGCUGCUGAGACCCAGCAAUUCCCUCAAAAUGCAAUGCCAUGCAAGGAGCUUCCACAGCAAUGUGUGAAAACUCAUUUUCCACGUUGAAAAACGUCUCCUCAGAGCAUCGGCGCGGUAUGCUGCACAGACGCAAGGCCCAGCUGAUUCAGCUUGCUUUUGAAAAGGACCUAACUCACAAGUUUACGUCUGAGUGGAAGGAUAUGUUGAUGAGGAGGUUCUAAUGCAAUGCUCAGCACUUUACAUAUUUGUACUACUAUUUUAAGGCAUACUAUUUUUUUACUAUUUUUCUUUUUUUAGGCAUACAAUGGCACUAAGUUAACGGUAUAGUGUAUGACGACAUGAAUGUAGUGAGUGAAAGAAAUGUUGAAUGUAUUUUCUUUAUUUAUUUAUUAUUUAUUAUGUUACCUUUUUAAAUGAGACCAGUACGUGAGUGCACUGAAUUUCGUUGUACUUCUGUCCAAUGACAAAUAAAUAUAUCCUAUCCUAUCCUAAUGGCAAUGCAUAUCUCUCUGUUAACUGCUUUUACACCUAAUAUGUUGUAUAGUCCAGUGUUUUAUGGAUAUAUAGUCAUAGCAUUGCUUCUAUGUAAUGUAUUGCUUUAAAUGAUGAGGAAUGAUGUGAUGUUGUAGGCUAUAGGCUAUAGGGUCAUAUUGCUGUUGGUUAUGUUUAACGUGAUGAUUAUGUGCUGCGCGAAUAGAGGAAAUAUACAUACUCUAGGCUAAUAAUAAUUGUGCCCCCCUAUGCAUUUGAUAUGCCCCCCUUAAGACUCAGGUCUGGCGACGGGUCUG